UGUGUGUGUGUGCGUGUGUGUGUGUGUGUGUGCGUGUGUGUGUGUGUGUGCGUGUGCGUGUGUGUGUGUGUGUGAGUCCCAGAUGCACAGAUGAUGGUGUAGGUUGUUUCAUUCUCAUGAUCUGAUGUUUUAGUGUGUUGCGUGACCAUUGUUUUACUUUUGAUGGAGUGUUUUCACCCCUGAGGUUCGUGCAGGUUCAGGUGAGGUCCAGUUGAACAGCUGGGGCUGAUGCAGGAGCAGCUCCAGGUGUGUGAGGCUAAUCCAGCUGCUCAGAAAGCCUGAGGUGUCGGCUGCUGCAAACCACACGCAGCAGCAGGAACAAAGAAACGCUGAAUCUUCAAAAUGUUUACAGAAUUCUAAUGAGGAGCGUCUCCACAGCUCUGACGACCUGUGUCACCGCCGGCGUCUGCAUGGUGUCCGGUCCUGCUUCAACACUGAGGAAACGCUGUGAUUUAUAUUGAACCAGUCUGAACGCAGGAGGCUGAAGCUGGUGGGAGGAGCCUAAGGACGCAGCGACGGCGUUUGUUCCAUCCGUCUGCACCUCCUCACACGCCUCGCUUGGUCUCAGCCUCAGCCUCAGUGACAAGGAUGAGGCCGCUUUAAACCUGAGCCCAGACUUCUGCUGAAGCCUUCGUAGCAGCCGGGUCAUCGAAGAGAAGGCGUCGUCCGGUGAACGCAGGACCAGUCUCAUCAGGGGGGGUGCGUGUGUGUUUGUGUGUGUGUGUUUAUGUUUGCGUGUGUGUUUAUGUUUGCAUGUGUGUGUGCAUGCGUGUGAGCGUGCGCGUGUGUGGCUUUAAAUUUAUGAGCUCGCCGGCUGCCUGUGCCUGUGGCCUGGAGCAGAUGACUUUCCUGUGCUCCUGGGAGGAAUUACUGUGACAGGGCAGCGGCGGAUGCUGAAUGGAGCACAAACAACGGUGGGAGACGAGAGAGGAGGAGGAGGAAGAGGAAGAUUGAAGGCAGCAUUCAAAUCACCUGCAGUGAAGCACAGGCAGACGUGUGUGCGUCUGGUGACCUGUUCUUCUAGUGAGGAGUGAGGCAUCAGCAGAGGAAGCGAUACCCAGAGACGCCACGUUGGUGCAGCACACGGUGAGCAGCGCCGUCUGUCACAGCCUCCAGCCUUUAACUGGACCAAGCAAAGGUUGGCGCCACCUCCUGCUGCUUAAUAACAAUUAGAGCUUCUGUUGCCAAGGCUUUUCACCGAGUUCAGCGCUAACGGCUGCAGAUGCAGAGCGUCAGGCGCAUGCAGCAGGCCUUUCCCACAGCACCGCGGGACCAAGUCCGGCGGGUCCGGCAGCCUCCGGUACCAGGUUACCUGCCUCCCUGCCUCCGGUACCAGCCUCCUGUGUGUUUAUGCGGCUCCCUGGUGGCGUCCCACUGGUUCCAUGUUAACUACACACACUGCACAAGCUGAUCAUUUGACAUCGGGGCUGGAAUUGUUCUCCUGAAGAAUGUGGAGGACUGUUGUAACCAUUAAUGCAGUUGAUUCUUCCCACAGGUAUAAUUUGCCUUGUGCUGAUUUAAUAUCUGCUGAGUCGUCUUCCAUGUUUUAUUGCCAGAGUUUAGAGCAGAGCGCUUCAUAAACACAACGUAAACUUUCUGUCAGGCUCGUUAUCUCGUGACGCCGCAUUUAUAAAUGCACAUUUAACAAAUAAAAGCCAUCAAGCGA